rnacentral:rRNA from 1 species
UACGAAGGGGGCUAGCGUUGCUCGGAAUCACUGGGCGUAAAGCGCACGUAGGCGGAUCUUUAAGUCAGGGGUGAAAUCCCGGAGCUCAACUCCGGAACUGCCUUUGAUACUGAGGAUCUUGAGUCCGGGAGAGGUGAGUGGAACUGCGAGUGUAGAGGUGAAAUUCGUAGAUAUUCGCAAGGACACCAGUGGCGAAGGCGGCUCACUGGCCCGGUACUGACGCUGAGGUGCGAAAGCGUGGGGAGCAAACAGG